rnacentral:rRNA from 1 species
UUGCAUGAACGAGGAAUUCCCAGUAAGCGCGAGUCAUAAGCUCGUGUUGAUUACGUCCCUGCCCUUUGUACACAYCGCCCGUCGCUACUACCGAUUGAAUGAUUUAGUGAGGUCUUCGGACUGGUGCUCGAAACGACUUCCGGGUCGGGUCGGUGCGCCGGAA